CAAAAUACUUGUCUUAGAUUUGUCUAAAUAUGGAUGUAUCUAGUUACAUUUUAGUGCUAGAUACAUCCGUAUCUAGACAAAUUUAAGACAAAAAUUUUG
rnacentral:pre_miRNA from 1 species